GGACCACGGUUUUUUGUUUGUUUGUUUUUCUUAACAAGCACCGAGAUGUAAUAAUAAUAAUUUUCAAAUGUUUUCCAACUUCAUAUUCCGUCUUCAACUCCAGACUUCAGAGCCAUCCUGAUCACUGCCGGAGCUGUUUGGCCAUGUCUGACUUCCUGAUGAUGAAGCCUUGCUGGCAGGUUGCCCAGAUUGCUGCUCUCCUGUAGAUUCCAGUCUCUCUUCAGGAGUUGCCUGCCUUCAGCAUAAUGGGCAACAUUGAAAGCAGCAAGGCGUUCGGUCGACAAGGUACCAAUCCAGAGUUCUGGGGGCCUCAUAAAAUGUCAAGCUAAUCAUUAGAAAAUCUAACAUUUUUCAGUAAAAUACCUUGAUUCUUCAAAUUGCCAAUUACACAUUUUCCCAGCUAGUAGACUGUCUCACAAAACCCUGAAGGCACACUGCUUAACAAUACCAUGCCAUAAAAUCCAACCUAAAUCAUCCUUCCGUCUCCAGCUCCUUCAGCUAUAAACUUCCAACCUCUCUAACCGACUGCAAUAUAAGGACUUUACAGCAUGCCAGAAGAGUAGUAAUAUUCAGUGGACAA